rnacentral:rRNA from 1 species
GACGAACCGUCCGAACGUUAUUCGGUAUUACUGGGCUUAAAGAGUUCGUAGGCGGCUCUGUAGGUGAGAUGUGAAAGCCCUCGGCUCAACCGAGGAACAGCGUUUCAAACCACAGAGCUUGAGGAUGGCAGGGGUAGUGGGAACUGAUGGUGGAGCGGUGAAAUGCGUUGAUAUCAUCAGGAACACCGGUGGCGAAAGCGCACUACUGGGCCAUUUCUGACGCUGAGGAACGAAAGCUAGGGUAGCGAACGGGAUUAGAUACCCCGGUAGUCCUAGCCGUAAACGAUGAGCACUGGGUUGAGGGGACUUCCACAUCCUCUCGGCCGUAGCGAAAGCGUUAAGUGCUCCGCCUGGGGAGUAUGGUCGCAAGGUUGAA